GUUAACUCUUACUGAUCCUUCUUAUGUCAAAGCCAUCAUCAUUUCUUGAGGAAAUCCAUUCAUUUCCUUCCUAGCCAGUUCAAAUUCCUUCAUUACCUGUUCCUGUAUAAUUAUACAAUUCUCCUUUGUAGUUCUGAUCACAACUGCAAGUUCACAUUCGUUAGCUGAUGUUUGGUUCAUAUCUACCUCCGCAUUAGACUGUAAGCUCGAUGACAUCAAGGAAUAGUGUCUAUGUUCAGCAUUGAUUAUCCCUGGCAGAUAACAUGGCAUUCAGCCUGCUUCAACCAGAAGAGGAUUCUUUAUGUUUUAUACAUGCACACACACACACACACACACACAGAUAUAUUUCAUGAAACAAUGCAUUGCUGAAACUGAAACUCCAGUACUUGGGCCACCUGAUGUGAAGAAUUGACUCACUGGAAAUGACCCUGAUGCUGGGAAAGACUGAAGGCAGGAAGAGAAGCGGACAAGAGAGGAUGACAUGGUUGGAUGGCAUCACCGACUCAAUGGACAUGAGUUUGAACAGGCUCUGGGAGUCGAUGAUGGAGAGGGAAGUCUGGUGUGCUGCAGUCCAUGGGGUUGCAAAGAGUUGGACAUGACAGAGCCACUGAACUGAAUAUUAAUUCACUGCUAUAAAUUUACUAAAAAUAGUUGAUCUGAUCUUAUCACUUCUCAAGGGCUCCAGUACUAUGAUGGAAACUUGUCACUUUUGCUACUGACCUUUCAUUUCUUCUCAUACCACUAGAGACUUGAUUUUGCUUCAUAGAAUACACUUCACAUACUGGAUACUGUCUGCCAAGAUAGCAGUAAAGAUAACUCUGGGUAGGAGAAGCAAUUCUUAUCUAGACCUGGGCUAUGAUGAAGCCAUGGUGAAGGUCAAGGGACUCAUACCAACUCUGAGCCAGUGCUGAGACCAAGAUGAACACUAGACAGAGAGGAUUUGUUAUUUUCAUUAAACUCAGAACUGAUCCAUAGCAUGUAAAUAUGACUUUUCUAGAAGCCAUCUUGCCUGUAUGAGGGGCCAGGACUUGCCUGGAGCAAUAAAGCUGAUCAAUGAAAACGUAUAGAUCCAUCACUGAAGAGAGCAG
ensembl:lncRNA